AAAUUGUUGAAAGGGAAGCGCUUGUGACCAGACUUGUGCCGGGCGGUUCAUCAGGGGUUCUCCCCUGUGCACUCCGCCCGGCUCAGGCCAGCAUCGGUUCUCGUGGGGGGAUAAGAACGGUAGGAACGUGGCCCUCCUUCGGGGGGGUGUUAUAGCCUACCGUACGAUACCCUCGUGGGGACCGAGGUUCGCGCUCCGCAAGGAUGCUGGCGUAAUGGUCAUCAGCGACCCGUCUUGAAACACGGACCAAGGAGUCGUCCAUUAGAGCGAGCGUUUGGGUGUAAAACCCGCACGCGUAAUGAAAGUGAACGCAGGUGAGAGCUUCGGCGCAUCAUCGACCGAUCCUGAUGUCUUCGGAUGGAUUUGAGUAAGAGUUUUAACGGACGGACCCGAAAGACAGUGAACUAUGCUUGUAUAGGGUGAAGCCAGAGGAAACUCUGGUGGAGGCUCGCAGCGGUUCUGACGUGCAAAUCGAU
rnacentral:rRNA from 1 species